GUAGGUCACACCGAGUGGCCCCUCCUCCUCAGACACAGGGCUGUGCCUGGGGAGGCCCAAGAAAGCCAAAGAAUAGGCCACGGGCUCAGAAGACAGGGUGAGAAACACUUAGUCAGCAUAAUCCCUGCCAAUCACACCAGGGCUUCCGGUAAUACCAAGAGGGGAGCGGGUGAGAAGGUGGAUUCUGAAUCUGACCACGUAACUCUGCACUGCCACGAAGGCCCCAGCUCAUGCCCCGCGCUCAGCAGAGAGUGGGCUUGGGCCUCAUCUUCCUGUAACCGGGGGCUGGGGACCACUUUGAUCUCACUGUUCCCCUUGCUGCUGUUCACACCAGUACGGCGCCUUCAAGAAGUUAUCCCAGGGCAAUUUUCCACCUUUGAAGUCCCCGGAAAACCCUGCCAAAAGCCGUUCUGGUGUGAGGAUGCUGCAGGGGCAGGCAGCCUGGUGCCGCGGCCUCCCGGGUGCCAGAACUGGAACAUCGAGACAUCAAAGGCGAAGGUGGCAGCAGGGCGAUGAGUAAGCUCCGCUGCAGGCUUGGCCUCGGCCCCAGAAGCCUUCUCCUCAUCUCCCAGUGGUGGCUGAGCAGGACUAGGGAGACGACCCAGAGAGCCUGGAGACCUGGCUUGGGGGAAGCCCUGUGGAUGCUUCUGGAGGCGGACACUUCCCUGCUGCUCUGUGCCUGGUAAAGGCACCGACCACUGCAGAGCAGAAGCAGAGUCCAAUCCUGGCUCCAAAGCGCCCCUGACUGCAAAGCUUUGGUACUGUUAUUACCACCGUGAAACAGGUGGGGAAACUGAAGCAUGAGGAGCUUGAGUAAUGUGUGUUAGAUCACGCAACCAGUAGUGGCAGAGCUGGAAUUCCGACCUGGGACUGCCUCCAAAGUUCUUGCGUAAGAAUACAGCUGCUACACUUGCCCUUCUUCAGCUGAGACCAAGGAGGGAAUUCUGAUUGAAAGCAAACCAGGGAGGAAAGAUGCACUAGCACUGACCUGUAACAGGUCAAUCUGUGCCAUGGCAUGGCGAGACGAAGUGGAGAACCCAUGUCUCAUUGGAAUCCCGGAUCAUCGUCUCCACGAAGGCUGUCUUCUGCAGCACUCCAGGGACUCACGGCUCUGGGCUUAUUGCUCAGUGUCAUGUGACAGAUGUUUUAGUGUUUAGUUGGAACCCUGGAUCUGCAGCAACCAUCUUGCUACCAACUUGAGGGUGAAGCCAGCCGUAAGAAUAGCAGGCCGGAAAGAUGGAAGAAACCUGGCUUUCCAAUGUCAUCAUUUGGUUGCUGAAUCAAUUGUACCUAAAGCUCACUCUAUCUGUUUUACCUUGAGUUAGGGUUGCCGUUGCUUGCAGCUAAACGCAUCUUCUUUUUUUUUUUUUUUUUUUUUUUUUUUGAGAAGGAGUCUUACUCUAUCACCCAGGUUGGAGUGCAGUGGCGCGAUCUCAACUCACUGCAACCUCCACCUCCCAGGUUCAAGUGAUUCUUGUGCCUCAGCCUCCCACGUAGCUAGGAUUACAGGCGUGAGCCACCACGCCCGGCUUAUUUUUGUAUUUUUGGUAGAGAAGGGGUUUCGCCAUGUUGCCCAGGCUGGUCUUUAACUUCUGGACCUUAGGUGAUCCACCCGCCUCAGCCUCCCAAAGUGCUGGAAUUACUGGCAAGAUCCACCACACCCAGUCUAAAUGCAUCUGAAUAUAACAUGACUCUCCUAGAGAAAAACCUGGAACCCAGAGCACCUGAAUAGAAACUCUUAAUUAUAUCAAUGAGGAAUAGUUAACUUAGCCAAGUUUCCAUUGAAUAUGAAGAACUGUAAAAUAAUGUCAGUUCUAGCCAAGAACUGAAAAGUAAUGUCAGUACUCUAUAAUGUGUAAUUCAUAGUUGCUACAUGUAAUCAGGCUUGGCCAAUUGUUUCCAGGAAGAUGGCACCCUCAUUUCUGAAUGAGGAUGACCAUUUUCCACUAAUCCAGAGGUAAAACAGUCAUUGUAACUGCACUGAAAUUUGCUGUAUCAAGUGAGACAUGAAGGUAAAUGUCAUUGGCCCAGAGUAAUUAGUCUUUUCCAGUGCUUAAAGGAAGGGAGAGAAACUAAUGCCUAUUGAGUGCCUUCAAAGCUUCUGCAAUGUGCUGGUACCCACAUGUUUCCAAUUAUUCCUCACAACACUAUGGAGAGGUUAUUUUGCCUGUUUUGCUGAUCAGGGAACUGAGACUCACAGAGUGACACCAACCCAUCAGUAUUUCAGGUUUCUGGGGAGGGUCCAGAGAGCAAGGGGGAAGCUGCUAAUUGCUUGUUGGUUCAAGAGAAAUGUUAUCUCAGUAGACUAACGUAUGGACUUUCUGAUGUCAGAAAAUGCAAACUAUGUAGUGUAACCUGUUUGCCAUUUUUUCUUUGUAUCCGCAAACUGACAGCAAAAUAUAUUGCACAAGUAUUAUAAAUCUGUUCAGUUCAAGUGCCAGAGAACAUUUACUCUGCUUCCUUCAUGAGUGGUGAGCAUGCCUGCUCCCCUACAAACUCACCAGCUCAGAGCAUUAUCAGGCUUCUCAUCUCUGCCAACCUGGUAAGUACAAAGGGCAUCUCUUGUAGUUUCGGUUGCAUUUUUCUCAUUAUGAGAUUGAGCAGCAGACAAUGUCUUUAAAAGACUUAUUUUGCUCUGGGUUUUAAUCUUAAAAUACUCUAAAUCCUCUUAGAAGUAGGUAGGGUCAGAUCUUCAAUCUGGAUGGAUUUACGUAAUGGGUCUAUGAAAGGGAUAGAAAGUCAAAGCAAGGGGGUGAGGCGGGGGAAUGAUGCGAAGUCAAAGCCCUCCCCCUCGGGGGCCCCUAGCCCAUCCCUGAUCCCUCACCCUUUGCAGGGCAUGUCCAGAGCUGCCACUGCCCUGGGCCUCCACCCCACAGCCCAGGACCACACCUUAACCUGGAAAGUCGUGGACCUCCUCAGGGGAGCUCAGGGAUCAGAUGGGCCGAUGGGUGUUACUGUGGCCAGGAGCACUGGGUCUUGAGUAUGUGGGUGGAACUUUCCCUCAUCCCCUGACCACGUCUAACCACAUGGCCUCUCCACUUUGAUAGUGGCGAGAAGAGUAGCCUCUUGCUUUUGCAUGUUUUCCUAAUCACAGCGUGCUUUCUUGUCUGCUAUUUCAUUUGACUUUUUUCAACCAGCCGCUGAGGUGGGGAUUAUUAGCACGCCCUUUGCAGAUGAGGAAACUGAAGCCCAGGGAGCUUUGGCAACCUGCCCAAGGUCACACAGCCAGUGAAGGAAAGGGCUGAAAUCAAACCAGGCCUGUCUGACUGCAAGGCAGGGUCUUACGGCUGCCUCCGGUGGGUAGGUCCGGGACCCAGCUGGUUUCCGUCCUGUGGCUCAGGUGCGAGGAGAGCCUCCCUGGGCCACCUGGGGAAGUCUGACUGACGUGCCAGAUCCUCACAGAACAAAGGAGAGAAGGGGACUCCUGAGAGGCCCCAGCAGCGUUAUCUGGGCAGAGAAAGUGAGUUUGAAGACCUCACACUCCAUCUGGACUUUAUCAGCUCCUUUCCUGGGUAGGAUUACAGUAAACGAUUAUCUACAGAUCUGGAGCCAGCAAGGACUUUGAAGGCCCCAAUUGCCAAGGGGGUGGUGAAAUGGGGGAAGGGCUGGAGACGCAGGAGAUGAAAAAGCAGUGCAGGCAUCUUAUCUUCCUCCUGAAAUCAAACAGGCUGGGCCUGGGCAGGGUGGGAGAGGUACCCUGUCUGUGAGGCUGACAGUCUCUAGCCCUGGCUGGCCACAAAAGAUACAGAGAGAACCAGAUGAAGGCCCUUCACUGUCUUCUCCUGAUCCUCUCUCCCUCCUCCUGGUUUCUUUUAUUAAUUCAUUCAUUCACUUGCAUCUUUCAGCCUGUUAGUUACAAUAUCUGACACGCUCUGAGCUCUCCCGCCAAGCCAAGUGCUUAGCAUCCAUCCCCUCAUGUGGUCUUCACCAUGACCUUCUGGGAGAGGUGCCAGAAUUAGGCCCAUUUUACAGAUGAGGAAAAUGAAGCCCCAGAGGCUAAGUAAUAGGAUGAGCCUGGGAUCACACAGCUAGUAAAUGGUAGGGUCUGGAUUCUCUUAAACCUGCAUACAUUUAUUCUUCCAUUUCCCCCUGCCUGCCUGCUUUCCUCUCAUAAUUCAUUUAUGUAUUCAGUUUUUCAUAUUCCCAUUGCUUGUUCAUUUUGAAGUUCCUUCCCUUCUUGCUUAUGCAUUUCUUCUGUCCCUUCCUGUCUUCCUCCUGUCUCUUCCUUCCUUCCAUGACCACAUCCUGAGCCUACUGUGUGCCCUGUCACCCUGCCAUCAGGACAUGGGGCUCCUGACAGAUGACUGCUGGGGAGGGAUAUGUGAGACCACCUCCUCCAGGGUCGACCUCCUCAAAUGAGGCUUUUGGGCUGUGCCUCCCUAUGCCUGAUUUGUCCCAGUGUUUGCCAAAAAUUUUAGGCUUUGAUAAUCUUGUGAAGAUGUUUCAGCCAAGCAAGUCUUGAGACUCCAUUGGUGUGGGAGUAAAAGUGGCCUGGGGAAGCCACUUCUUGCAGUUUCCCCUAAGCAAGGCUCUUUCUGUCCUUGCUGUUCUGACAUCCACUCCCUCAGCAAACAUCAUUAAGGACCUAUCAUGGGCAGCCCCUGGGGCCCACUCCCAUCCUCUAGCUGUCUCGAUUUCAUACCUCCCUAGCUCUAGAAAAUUCACUCCUAGAAGGCAGGGAAUUGGCGUCAAGGAACGGGUUCACAGCCUUGGACUCCUUUAUUCAUUCAUCUUUUUUCCUAGCACCUAACACAGGGCCUGGCUUAGACUGAAGGCUAAUAAAUACAGGAUCAAAAGGCAGUGAACCAUCAUUCUCUGUCACUCUCCAGGAGCUGGCCCACUCACCGUGCUAGACAUUGUACUGGAUAUAGUAGUCCCGCAUCGUUGUAUCACUCUCAUUUCUAGCUGGAGAAGUACCCCUCCUUUUCUAGGUGCGGUUAUGGGGUCGCUAUCACCUGAAGUGCCCGCCACUCACCCUGUAGUCUUGGGUGGGUAUGUGAUCUCAGCUAAAACAGUCGAGGUCUCUCUCCCUGGGCUUGGAAUUGUAAACCAAGUGAUGCAGAGAAAGAAAAAACACAAGCCCUUGGAGCCCAUCACAUCCCAUCACCGAUGAGGCUGUCCAGCGGUUCUGGCCCUCAGAAGCCCCAGAGAACUCCAGUUUCUGUCCUUUUCCGAGUGUGGCUUUCUGUCCACUUUAUGGCUGCUCAACCUCCCUCCAGUAUGCCCCUUCUCCCCUUAGUCAGUGAAUGUCUGUUUCUGUGCUUGCAAAUGAUAAAUCCUAAAUGAUGCCCCAGGACAUGGUUUCCAAGGCCAGCUAUUGGAGCCUCACCAGAAAUGUUCAUUCUGCCUCAUCAGUGUCUUGGCUAUUGCCUUUUUGGAACUGCUCUGACCUCUCCUCUUUCCAUCCUGCAGCACCCCCUCUCUCAGCACCAGGGAGCUCCUCCAGGAGCACUUCCUCCCAUGUCUGUGUUCGCCGUUAAGACUGGACACACCAGGAUGAUCUUUCAACUUUGGGUCCAAAGGCCCUCAGUGGAUGUAAAAUAGGUACAUGAGGCCUUGAACUGAACAUUUUUUUCACUUCACCAUAACCUGGAUUUUCCCAGUUUAGGAGCAUCUGUUUGUCUUGAUAACGUUUGGAACAAAGUGAAAAAAACUGGACUUUGAAGAGAACUUCAGGUGAAUUACACAUUUAAGUCAGAUUUUCCAUGUCUUUGUCCCAUGUUCAGUAAUUCAAGCUGUUAGGAGCCCUCAACUUUGUACAUAUAUUUCCUUCCUAUCUCUGCCUCUUCAUACCUGGUACUUACCGUGGAAUUUGAAAUCUUUCUGUGGCUGUAAGCAAGAAAGGCGGGAAAAAUACAAGAAGUUAAAGGGGAUUGGAUGGUUCAGAUUUGGUUGAUGAAUGAGAUGGUUUAGAGGCAUGUCUUGUAAGAGAUAAUUUUCUAUGUGCCAGGUACUAUUUAUGAAUCCCACAUUAUCUUAUUAAUGCUCACAACAAGCCUUGGGGGUAAAUAGAUUAUCAUCGCCAUUUCACAGAUUAGGAAAGUGAGGUUUCAGCAGUCAAUUGCUCAAAGGUCUCCUGCUAGUGAAACAGUCGUCUAUCCAAACAGUCUGAAUGACCUGUGCACAUGGGAACGUGCCACGCAAGCCAAGGGCAGGAAGGAUGAGAAGAGGUGGGCAGAAAGCCAGCUGGGAUGAAUGAAGGACCUACUACGUGCAGGCCCAGGGUCAGACAUUUUAUUUUCUUGAUUGCACUUCAGCCUCCCAGCAGCCCUGUUUUACAGAUGAAGAAACUGAGGCUCAAAGAGCUGGAGAAAGUUGUUGCCCAGGGUCCUGUGGAGAGAAAACUCAAGCUCCGGCUGUUCCACUACUCUGGGACACCACCCCCAGUGGGAACCCCACUUUUACAAGGAUUCGAAGCUUUACUCCAUUCUUUGCCACACAUAAGGAGGCCGAGGAGGGAAGAUGGCAUGAGGCCAGGAAUUCAAGGCUGCAGUGAGAUAUGAUUGCACCACUACACUUCAGCCUGGGCGACAGGGUGACACCUCAUCUCUAAAAAAUAAAAUAAAAUAAUAAAAAAAUUUUGGAAAUUUUUAAAGCGUCUGCUCCACAGAGCCACAUUUUGCAUUGUGCAGUUUCGUUUUUCAGACCUUUCUCCUCUCUUCCAUCUGACUGCCCUGAGAUCCAGCACUUUUUGCUUCCACAUCUGAGGCUGUCGCUGGAAACAAGGUCUCCAUCCCAUUUGCAUGACAUGAGCACAGUCGGGAUUUGUAUUCAUUCUGUGGGUGUGUGUAUAUUCGUGCUCUCCACAAAAGAACCACUCAGCAUUGCUUUUUCAAGCCGAGCUUUAAAAGGCUUAUUUGCCAUGACAUCCAGCACUUGUAAUUUGAGGUCAUACCCCGAGGAAGAAUUGCUAAAUCUGUGUAAAAUGUUUCUGACUCCUUUUCUUACAGAUUCUGUCAGAUUAUCUCUUUAAGAAUUCUAAGCCCAUGUUGUUUGAGGUGGUUUUAGGCUAAUGUACAUUCCCCAAACAUUUCUUUGCUGUUCAAAAUAAAGCAAUUGAGAGGGUUCUUCGUAAAAACGAAGCACUUUGCAAGAGCUCAAGACAAAAGACAACUCCCUUUUUUCUAGGGGGUAAUUUUGAGGAUAGAAGAAAAACAGUGUUCUAUGUAAGCCUGUACAAUCACGAGAGCCAUUUGCUGAGGGCCAUGUGUGCGAGUGGUUCGUGUGCUCUCCACCUCCUCUUCUUCCUCCCAGGGGAUGAAAUGAGGCCCAACAAGUGCAAGACAUGGACCAUGUCAGCUCGUGACAGAACAGGGCUGGAACCCAAGUCUGCUAGGCUCAGCCCACUCCCUCCCUGUGCCGAGUUGACAUAUUCUACUUACAUUAAGCCAAGUGCUGGGCUCUGAUUAUACAAAAUCAGAUAAGCCAGGACCCUGUGUUCAAGGAGCUCCCAGGCCUGCUGGGGUGAGAGUGGAGCAGCAAGGAUGGAAGUGCACAGAUGCAAGGGUGGCCAGGCCUAUGGGGAUACAGGCAAGGGAGGCUGAGUGUU
rnacentral:lncRNA from 10 species